CCACUCUAUUGGUCUUUGGGAAAAUGCCUUUUAGCUAUUCAAAAUGCAUGUGUUUUAACUUGGCAUGUUAUAAUAUAGAAGAAACCGAUCUGGAAACAGCAUCAAUCUUUAAUUUAUCAAUUAAUGCAAAGGAGUGAGAUCCAUACUUUGGUCAGUGAUGUUCAAGACUGGUUUACCAUCCAGAAGCAGAAAAAUGUUCUGUCCAUUGCUGGUCAAGGAGAGAACAUGCCAGACCCCGUCAGCCACAGAAGAGUCAACUGUGAACUCUGACAGCCUCACAGGUCCGGAACCCAGGUCAUAAGAGAGAUGUAUGGUCCCAUCCACUAUCUCCAAUGCAAAGAACUCUCUGCUGGAUGGUCCUCCAGGGUUGUACAGGAGCAGGGAGUUCCUCUGCACUGUUGCAAACUCUACAGAGAUUAAAUUUGUCCUGCGAUCCAGUGGGGGAAACUCCAUGAAGGACAGCUCCUCAAAGCCAUAACUGUGCUCCUCGCAGUGGACUCCACUG